GAAGGAAAGUCGCUCAAGCAGUGGACAGAGCGGAGAAAGCGACUUCGGGUUGGUUGAAGGGUCUGCUGGAGUUUGCUGGAGGUGCACUCCAGACUCUGUUUGCCUGCCUAUCACCAACAGAGGCUGCAGAACAGCAAAGAUUGCUGUCUGUAACUUCCUCUGGAAGCUUCAUCCCAGAGGGGCACCUGCCAGAUGCCAGCCGGAGCUCUCCUCUAUGAGUGAAUGAAGGAGGGAAGAAAGGAGAGACAGAGAAAAUAUGGGUGAGUAGUGUCUCCAUCUGAGAUUUUUUUCUCAGUAAGAUCAUGUCUUUUUGGCUCCAUUCCACUACUUCCUUCAUUGGACUGCAAGGUAUUUCUGUUUGGAAAAGUAAUGGAGUCCAGUCAACUUCAUUGAUCGCCAAGGACUGUCAAAAUUAUAAAACUUGCUGUGGAGCUCUGACAUGCCAGAAGCCGCUAGAAAAAGAAGUUUGACAUUCAGAAACUUAUCAAGAGGUUCUACUCUUUGGAUAGAGACCAAAAUCAUACUUUGAAUGAUAUGCAAUGCAAGACUCCCAAGAUUCUGGGCAGUGGCAGGGAGGUGCAGCUUCUAGUCUGCCGCAUGAUCACAAUGAAAGCCUGACAGGUUUCUUCGGAAAAGUGGCCAUCCAUGGAAUGAAUGAAAUGUUCUCUUUCUAUUCCAGGGAUUGCAGUGGCAAAGCUAGGCUAGGUCUUGGAGGCUGGUGUAAGGCGAUGUGGGUGAAGGCAGGAGGCUGAUGGAAAGACUGGGGGGAAGAAAAGCCGAAAUGGAUUCACGGUGCCUUGGAUGAAGGACGAGAGGGGAACUGCAAGCUCCUUCAACUGGUUCUGUCCGGUGAGAAGUGAUCAAGCUUGGGCUGACAAGAGGCUCAGGGAGCCCUCACGUUCUUUCGCUUUUUUACCUGCCAAUCAAACUGCUACAAGACAACACCCUGAUCUGGCAUGGACAUAUCCAACUUAGAAAUAAUGUUUCAUUCAAGAUAAGGCUCGUGGCUUAGGAGAUUGUGACCUGGCUUGCAUCAUUCUAAGACUUCUAUCGUCUGUUUUCAAAACCCAAGGAGGACCUCCUUUUCUGUGUGAUAGUUCCUCAUGCUUUGCCAGCCACUGGGUCUUUAAGGAAGCUUGCCAAGAGUUCCCGGCUGGGAAGGACAGUUCGAGUUCAUCAUAGACAAUGAGCUGGCACCACAGUUUAAGUGACUCACCAACCUGGUUGCCCACUUCAAAAUGUCAAGAACCACACUAUCUAAUUGAAAGAACUGUGUUUUAGCAAAGUGUAAUUGGAUCGCCUGGCAAGAUCAUCUCAAACUAUGUCUCUGACCUUGCCUUUCAGUGGCUAUUUUGAGCACAAGAGGAGAAAGGAAAUGAUUCCUGAAUUAUAUCUUGUUUUUAAAAAUUAAGAUUAAUUAAUACUUGGUUUUAUGUUCAUUCCAUUGUAGGAACUUAGUGAUUAUUACAAAACAGUCAAAAUAGGUCAUAGCAAAAUGAACGUUUAAGAUUAGGUUAAAACAUUCCUCUGAAAUUUUAGUAUUCACUUUUGAAGUGUCAAUUACUAUAUUUCUGUAAUUUCUCAUUUUUUUCUUGGCUUAGAGUCAAGAUGAAAAAUGAUAUUUGAAUCAAAGACAUUGUUUUGUUAUAUAGCCACUCCUUUCUAAAAUGCAAAUCCACCCUCCCCUCACCAAUGCUUUAUUCUUUGUGCGCGCACACACACACACACACACACACACACACACACACACACACAGACAUACACAGAACCAGCACCCAAAUGGUAGAGGAGGUCCUUCCAAGACUUCUAGGACCUGGAUCAUGUAAGCAGUAGAUGAGAAAAUGAAGUAAGAGAUAUAGAGUAAUAACAAUAAAAGUCAAUGAUUUCAUUUUACAAAAAAGUCAUUGUGUAGUACUCAGAUAUUUUUAAGAGCAAGUAUUAUUAUGACUAAAGUAUAUUAUACUUCUAAAUUAUUAUGAUUCUCAUCUAAUUUCAAGCCACACAUAGGCGCCAUUUGAAAGCAUUUUGUGUUACAACCUAUCAACAAAAAUCAACUAAUAGUUUUAUAACGUGCAUAGGUUUACCCCAUGGGGAAUUAAAAUUUUUAUCUGCAAGUAUUUCUGUUGUUGUGAGACUUUAGGACAAGACAACAUUUGGUGUUAACAUAGAAGAAUAUUCUAUGGCUUUUUUAGCUUUAAAGUUCAUUACUCUAAAAUAAAGUACACGUGGUAUUUUUUUCUUCCUAGUGUUCUCUUAUUAUAUGUAGAGUAUUUUCGGUUGUUGUUUUUAACGUAUACAUUAUUUUUAUUAAGUCAUUUCAUAAAAGAUAAGAUAUAUACUAAUAGACCCUUGGUUUUCUCCUAAUUUAAUUAUUUCAAGUCAAGCAAAAUUGGGCAAUUUUCUUUCAGGAAAAAAAAAAUAUUGAGCAUGAUUUUGAGGUAAAACUGAUUAUUUACAGCAUCUUUUCUCUAAUAGGCUAACAUUUAUGAUGGAUCUUAUUUCAAAGUUGAUUAUUCUCAAAGAAAAGUGGAGAUAUUAGAAUUUCCGAGUAAAUUGCAUUGUUUUAAAAAGUACUUUAAUGCAUUGUUCACAUUGUUGCCAGCUAUUGACCAAAAAAGAGAAGAAGAAAAAAGAAAUAAAAAAAGCAGUAUCUGCUCCAAACGUCAAGUUUUGCAGUUUGAAAGACUUGUACAUUAUAAUUGUUUUUUUCUUUUUUGGAAAGCAGUAGUAAUUAAUACCAAAGGCAUAGACAAUUUAGGGCCAUAACCUCCCUUCCCCCCUCUCCACCUUUUUUUUUUUUUUUUUUUUUUUUUAACUUUAACCAUGAUAGGCAUCUCUGCAAGGUAGGUUUUAACAUAUUUUUUUCCUAAUUUUUUUCCCUCCAUUCAGUAAGAAGGAUAAGCUUUUAGAGUACCCAGUCACCGUGGUAACUGCCAAAAAAAUUCUCCUGAAGUUUGAAGAGGUCAGCUAGCAGGGUCAACAACCCUGGCCUCUCUCUGAGCUCGGUCUAGCAUGCCCCAGCCUGCGGUUGGAGUGUCAGGCCAGAUCUGACCCUGGGAGGUGGACCAUUCUGGCUCUGAUAUAAAUUUUUCGAGUCAGUUCAUGGCCUGGACUCUCCAGGUGGCCUCCAAAAUCGAUUUUGACCCCCUGACCCUGUCUCACGGAGGCAUAGCAUCCACCCUAAGUAAGGAUUUAGCCAGGAAUGACAGCUUUCCACUGAGUGUUAUUGGGGACAGUAUAAACAGUUUGGAAAGCAAGUAAGGAGGUGUGAGGGCUAGCAAUCAUUAAAAGCACAUUAAAAAACAAUUUUUAAAAAUCUUUAUUAGAGAAAGUUGUAAAUGCAUAUCUGUUACAGAAUUCCUGUGAUUUGUAGAGUUUUCUAGUCAGUUUUGAAUAUAAAUAGGUCACAUAUCUUUAUCUUUUUGCAUACUUUGUUACAAAUAUGCAAAUAAGAUAGGCAUACUUGCUACAAAAUAGGUACAGCAGGAAUGUAAUAUGUUCAGAAAAGGCAAACUGGUUAUUAAAACACAUUAACAGGUAAGGAGUUUCUAAUAUUUUAAAUACUAAAAUUUUACAUGUGUAUUUUGAAGUUUUUAAAAUGGAAAAAUAAAGAACCUUUAAAAAACCCAACAGUGUGGAAUAAAGAUAAACUUGUUGCACUCAAGGUACAUUUCUACUUUGUAAAGCAAGAAGCCAAUACACUCAGUUGGAUAAAAAUGAGAGAAAAAUUGUAAAUAUAGAGAGUUACAGCUUAUAGAGCUGAAGAGGAAUAAAACAAAAAAAAGUGUCUCUGAAUAACUUUAUGUAUUUUCAACAGUUUAAGAUAUCAGAAACUUGGAAAAUA
rnacentral:lncRNA from 1 species